CUUUACUUGGUGGUCAUUUAAUUGCAGCGUGUGAAAGCAGUAGCACAUUCACGUAAUGUGCCACCAUCUUUGCAAUGCAAAGCACUUCUUUCAGCCAGCUACGGAUAGGCGAAAGAUCGCAAUGUAUGCAAGUCCUUCCUGAUCAUGUAAACAAUAGUUAAUUUAAUCUACAGUCAGUUUUUCAAGACAGUACCUACCACCGAGGAUUGGACAAUUGAUCUGAUUCACUAUGUUCUUUUUUGCAGAAAUGCACAUUUUAAUAUCUUCCUUUUACAUUUUUUGGCGAACUCUGUGAUGUAGUUGGUCUCUGGAAUUCAAUUGAAAUACCUUCCUUCAUUCAUGAUUUAUUGCUUUCAAUGCGUCAAUAUCUUUAUUUCAAUUCUGCCUCUUGUUACCAACGAAGAAGGAGACAAGUUCGGAAAAUCUGCUGGCGAUGGUAUUUGGCUGGACGAAGAAAAACGUCGCCUUUUUCUAUUUAUCAGUUCUUUUUGAAAAUGCCAGAUUCUGAAGUCGUUAAGAUUUUUCCAGAGCCUGGACUAUCCAAUCUUGAUCUGGCACUAAAAGCUUAAUGAUUUACAACAGAGACUGAUACGAUGAGAAUCAUCACAGCUGGAGGGUUCUAUAUCAAGCAAUAGCGAACUUAAAACUUCGCACUAACAUCACACUAACUCAUCAGCACUAACAUCACAUACCAUUUCUAUCUAUUAGUUCAAAAUGUUAAAUGUCUCCUUUUUGUUGGCAAUGAUGAGCAUAUGGAUAAAAACAAUUUGUUUAGCUUAUAUCCAUAUUCAAUUUUACAUUAAUUGAAAAUCAUUAAUAAUAAUAUUGUAUUCUUUUUUUUAUAAAAAAAAAAUAAUUUGAAUCAUUAAACAUGUAGACUUCCUGGUUUGUUAAUCAUGUUUAUAUAUUUUUUUAAAUACAAUGAAAUUAAUUCAAAUAUGUUUUUAAAUUCCAUUCGGUACUCAAAUUUAUAAUUAGUGACAUAAUAUACAUACAUUUAAGGCUUUUUAAGGCUCACUAAAUUCAUGAAGUAGUUUUUUUUUCCAAAAAAAAAUGUGAUGAUUUCCAAAUCUACAAUAUUUUUUUAAUAUUUCGCUUAAAUUUGUUUCGUACUUUUCAUCUUGUAGUACAUUGAAUAAAUAAAAAAAUAAUGUUGAGAAAUGGUGUUCUUCAGUUUGAGCACAUGUAGCUAAAAUCGAAGUUUAGAUUCGUAAUCAGCAUCAAAAAUUAUUUCAAACGAACUAUUUAAAAUUUGUAC